rnacentral:lncRNA from 1 species
CAAGAAAUAAGAAGGUUUGGUGUAAUUGCCAAUCAGACAACUCUCCACAAGAUACCACAUGACGUAGAAGUUAGAAACUAUGGGUCACCGUACAUUCUUCAACAAUGAGCAAAUUCCAUACCGCAUAGCAGUCUAUGAAUAUCCUCAAAAGGACAAAUGUAUAACAAUUCAUAAAAACCAACGGCCUCAUUUAUAAUCAAAAGAGAAAACAAAUACAAUGUACAGCUACAAACGACCACUAAAUAACAAGCUCCGGAUUAUGGGAAGACAAAAUGCCACAUCCAGAAUGUCUUAUAUAAAAUUGGUAUCAUUUAUUCUUGUGUAAAACACUAGUUUGCAUGUCCUCAACUUAACAACAAACAAUUAUAGUUCUGUCAUAUCAUUAUUACAAACAUAUUGUCUACGAAAAUUAAAAAUAUAUAAUCGUAAAUAAACCCAUCUAGUUUACGGAAACCACACAAAGCCCUUGAACUAUCAUUUGUCAAUGACAUAUACGAUAAACUUAUCCGACGAGACUCAUUAAGGAGGUCCGCUACUCUGUUUAAAAAUAACAGGCUUUUUAAAAGACUGUUAUAAAUUGAUAGUAUAUAAAUAAAAAAGCACUAAAAAGCAGAAAAAAUGGAGGGUCCGUGUGCUUGUUUUCGAGAUAUAAGCCAUUGAAAAUUUGGCAGGAAAUAAUUCUUUCUAGAUUUUUCUAACAUUUAACAUUGGCAUUUAACAUUGGUACUUACCUUUUUUGUUUAAAACACUAUGAAAAAAUAACAAGGAUUUUAUAAGAUUUUAAAAUAUGGCUUUUUAAACUAUAUGUAAUAAAAAUAUGAAAAGAAAAGUAGGGGUUAGUGGGCAGUUUUUUUUAUUGUCAAUACAUAGAUAAAACCAGAGGAUUCCGAAAAUCUGGAAAAAUUCAAAAAAAUAGAAGAGCAAACAUCCUUAAAAGACAACAUCUUAUACAUGUUGGAAUCAAUGC